rnacentral:rRNA from 1 species
CAGCAGCCACGGUAAUACAGAGGGUGCGAGCGUUAAUCGGAUUUACUGGGCGUAAAGCGUGCGUAGGCGGCUUUUUAAGUCGGAUGUGAAAUCCCUGAGCUUAACUUAGGAAUUGCAUUCGAUACUGGGAAGCUAGAGUAUGGGAGAGGAUGGUAGAAUUCCAGGUGUAGCGGUGAAAUGCGUAGAGAUCUGGAGGAAUACCGAUGGCGAAGGCAGCCAUCUGGCCUAAUACUGACGCUGAGGUACGAAAGCAUGGGGAGCAAACAGGAUUAGAGACCCCGGUAGUCCCUGUCUCUUAUAC